UACAGAGGGUGCGAGCGUUGCCCGGAAUCGCUGGGCGUAAAGGGCGCGUAGGCGGCUUGAUAAGCGUGCGGUGAAAGCCCGGGGCUCAACCCCGGGUCGGCCGUGCGAACUGUCGAGCUGGAGCACUGUAGAGGCAGGUGGAAUUCCGGGUGUAGCGGUGGAAUGCGUAGAGAUCCGGAAGAACAUCGGUGGCGAAGGCGCUCUGCUGGACCAUAACUGACACUCAGGGACGAAAGCUAGGGGAGCGAAUGGG
rnacentral:rRNA from 1 species